UAUCAGAAGUGCGAAUGCUGACAUGAGUAACGAUAAAGGGGGUGAAAAACCUCCUCGCCGGAAGACCAAGGGUUCCUGUCCAACGUUAAUCGGGGCAGGGUAAGUCGACCCCUAAGGCGAGGCCGAAAGGCGUAGUCGAUGGGAAACGGGUUAAUAUUCCCGUACUUCUUACAAUUGCGAUGGGGGGACGGAGAAGGCUAGGUGGGCCUGGCGACGGUUGUCCAGGUUCAAGUGYGUAGGCUUGAGAGUUAGGUAAAUCCGGCUCUUUUUAAGGCUGAGACACGACGUCGAGCCACUACGGUGGUGAAGUCAUUGAUGCCAUGCUUCCAGGAAAAGCCUCUAAGCUUCAGAUUGUAAGGAAUCGUACCCCAAACCGACACAGGUGGUCGGGUAGAGAAUACCAAGGCGCUUGAGAGAACUCGGGUGAAGGAACUAGGCAAAAUGGUACCGUAACUUCGGGAGAAGGUACRCUCUCGACGGUGAAGUCCCUCGCGGAUGGAGCUAUUGAGAGUCGCAGAUACCAGGUGGCUGCAACUG
rnacentral:rRNA from 1 species